GUAUACAGUUCUGGGUGUGGGAAUAUCUGC
rnacentral:piRNA from 1 species